UUCUAUUCAUUAUCAUCACUACUCAGCUGUAAUGGAACAUAAUGCAGCCCCAGAAAAGAUCCACCUCGAACCAUUGUCAAUUGUAAAAUCUCUCGAUAGCUCCGAAGAAUUCAAACACGAUCGAAACAUAACUACUUCCGAUCAGGAAAUCAGCGAAAUUGCGAAGAAAAAAAUCGUCCACAACUUUUUGGAUCAAAUCGCAAGUGGUCAGCCUAAACCAAACCCUUCUAGAAGAAACAUUAUCGAAGAUUUCCCGGAAACAGCUGAAGAUGAAGAAAAGAUAUUAUCUGUUAAGGAACUGAGGAGGAAAUUCGAAAAGGAUCAAGGUAAAAGCAAAGUUGUGUCCAGCUUGACUGCAAGAAGUUUAUCGAAACAGAUGAAGACAACAUGGAAGAACUAAUUUAGGAAAAUCUUGAAGCAAUAAGAUAGACUCCGAUAAGGCUGUUUAAACUGUUAGGAUAUAAGGAUUCCAAAGAUAUUUUAUUUUAAGGUAAAAAUGUUUUAAUGUACAUAUAAACUUAUUUGUAUAUACAAUUAUCACUAAGUCGGGGUUAAGAGAAAUGUAUCCCUUCAUUGUUGAAUGCGUGUAAUAUCCUGUAAAAAAACAAAAGAUAUAUUAAAUUAUGCAUGAUUUAA